UAACACGUAGGUAACCUGCCCCGGAGCGGGGGAUAACAUUUGGAAACAGAUGCUAAUACCGCAUAACAACAAAAGCCACAUGGCUUUUGUUUGAAAGAUGGCUUUGGCUAUCACUCCGGGAUGGACCUGCGGUGCAUUAGCUAGUUGGUAAGGUAACGGCUUACCAAGGCGAUGAUGCAUAGCCGAGUUGAGAGACUGAUCGGCCACAAUGGAACUGAGACACGGUCCAUACUCCUACGGGAGGCAGCAGUAGGGAAUCUUCCACAAUGGGCGCAAGCCUGAUGGAGCAACACCGCGUGAGUGAAGAAGGGUUUCGGCUCGUAAAGCUCUGUUGUUGGAGAAGAACGUGCGUGAGAGUAACUGUUCACGCAGUGACGGUAUCCAACCAGAAAGUCACGGCUAACUACGUGCCAGCAGUCGCGGUAAUACGUAGGUGGCAAGCGUUAUCCGGAUUUAUUGGGCGUAAAGCGAGCGCAGGCGGUUGCUUAGGUCUGAUGUGAAAGCCUUCGGCUUAACCGAAGAAGUGCAUCGGAAACCGGGCGACUUGAGUGCAGAAGAGGACAGUGGAACUCCAUGUGUAGCGGUGGAAUGCGUAGAUAUAUGGAAGAACACCAGUGGCGAAGGCGGCUGUCUGGUCUGCAACUGACGCUGAGGCUCGAAAGCAUGGGUAGCGAACAGGAUUAGAUACCCUGGUAGU
rnacentral:rRNA from 1 species